CACCCGGGGGAUUGCUUAUUAACGGCGAGUGAAGCGGCAAAAGCUCAAAUUUGAAAUCUGGUACCUUCGGUGCCCGAGUUGUAAUUUGGAGAGGGCAACUUUGGGGCCGUUCCUUGUCUAUGUUCCUUGGAACAGGACGUCAUAGAGGGUGAGAAUCCCGUGUGGCGAGGAGUGCGGUUCUUUGUAAAGUGCCUUCGAAGAGUCGAGUUGUUUGGGAAUGCAGCUCUAAGUGGGUGGUAAAUUCCAUCUAAAGCUAAAUAUUGGCGAGAGACCGAUAGCGAACAAGUACAGUGAUGGAAAGAUGAAAAGAACUUUGAAAAGAGAGUGAAAAAGUACGUGAAAUUGUUGAAAGGGAAGGGCAUUUGAUCAGACAUGGUGUUUUGUGCCCUCUGCUCCUUGUGGGUAGGGGAAUCUCGCAUUUCACUGGGCCAGCAUCAGUUUUGGUGGCAGGAUAAAUCCAUAGGAAUGUAGCUUGCCUCGGUAAGUAUUAUAGCCUGUGGGAAUACUGCCAGCUGGGACUGAGGACUGCGACGUAAGUCAAGGAUGCUGGCAUAAUGGUUAUAUGCCGCCCGUCUUGAAACCAACGGACCAAA
rnacentral:rRNA from 1 species